ACUGGGUGGCUGCGCGCAGCCAGCUCGGGGGCAGGAGCUACCACUGCGAAUAAACUGUCCCACGUUCCUUGGUGGGCAUCGUGUUCAGGGUUAAACCGGCUUUCUCUCUUGUAAAGUUUACCUCACCUUUAAAAUAGACGUAACUGCAUUAAGCCCUACUGUUACCGUAAAUUUUGCACAUUUAGCAGCCUUCAUUGAACUUCAAUGAGAUUCAUUUGUUCAGUCCGUUCAGGUUAUUGGUGGUGUAAAUGAGCUUCGCUAUCACGACGCCAGAAAGCUGAAGCUGUGGCGCUCCUCUUCCACUUUUCAAGUGCUUGGAAAGAAGCAUGUUCUGAAAAGUUCUAGGAUUACACUGGAUCUGGGCGGUUUUGCAUGGAAGCCAAACUCCUAUGUACUUACCAAGAAAUCACACACUUGAGCAGGUCUGAGGAGCAAGCAUGGAUAAUUGAGAAAGAAACGUGUAACUGACAAGAGAAAAAGGAGAGUGGAGGUAGUGGUAAGUGUUGAUCUCUGCCCACUUUGUGAGUGACAGAAUCAUGGAGUGUGGGGAGAACUUUGGAAACUGUUUCAGUACUUCUCAAAGACCUUUCUGCUGAAGUUUCAACUUCCUUUUCAACCUUGUCCAUUUUUCAAUCUUUUGCUAGUUUGGAAGAGAGGAAAGUCAUUCUUAAAAGGUCAGCUGAUCCACCCUGCCUUUGAUUUCACACCAGCAUAAAUCCAUUUAACAAAGUUUCUUUUUAAUCAUACCAAAAUUGUUGGGAGGAAAAACAGAGCUUGAAAAGCUUUUUUCAGAAGACACCUUCCUCCCUUGCUCUGCCUGAGAUUCAGGAGUAUAUAGACAUGGAAGUCACAAACCUGACUGUUAAUACUGGGAUUCUGCAGAGGAUUAAACAAAGGAAACAUCUAAUUUUCCAAACACUUCAGGGUAUGUAGACUUUGCAAUAAAUGAUUUCUGAGUUGAAGCCUGGAAUUUCAAGUACUAUGAAGUGACAGCUUCUGGGACAGGCUAUGUGCAGCUAGACAACCUACUGCAGGCUGACUCUGUUCCAACAAGCCUUACAUGGGGUUGGAGGCAGAUACUCUACAUGGUAAGAGCCACCACAUAGCACAUGGCUUAUCUUCACCUGGGAUGCAUUGGAAACACUCAUGGUAUGUCUGAUGGAAAGGGACAAUAAAGUGGUGGACAGCAAUUAGAUUGUUUAUCUAUAGAAGAGAGACCAUAUUCAACCUUUUUUCUGUAUAUAUCUGUUGUUUGAUAUUAAGAUUCUUUUUUUUAGUCUUUUAGAAUGUUAACGGUGAUGCUAACAUGUUGGUGUCAGAAAUCUUUGUCUAAAUAAACCCCAUAUACCUCAGCACUGCCAUUAGUUCUGAUUUGAGUGGCAUGCUGAAUGCUCUGUGAAGAAAACCCACCUCUACCUAGGUAAUAUAAUUUUCAAUAUCAAAUGUUAAACAAAAUAUAAUUGAGAUUAAAAAAGAAGAGCAUAAAGCCUCAAGUCCCAGAAAAAUGUUUCUUUUACUCUUCUAUGCCUGUCUCAUCAAAUAGUUUGGAAUGUAUUUUUAUAAGUUGUAAGUCUUUCACAAAACUGGUUUUUAUUUUUUAAAAAACAGAUUUUCCAACUGGAAUUACUCAAUUGCAAAAACAUGUUUUUAUAAUAGAAGUAUUACAUUUUGUGUCAUUGGGUAACCUUGUUUUGCCAGGGUUACCUUUCUGUAGUCCCUAAACUUGUCUGGGAGGUUUAUUUUGGGGGAGGGCAGUUGUUUCCUUGGUGUUUUUUUUCUUGCAAAUUAUCUUUUGUCACCUUCAGACUUAGGCUGGCUCUGCUACAAGUUUGGAUUUAACAUAAUUUUCUAAAAUAUAUUACCUCCAAUAUUAAAUUAAAAUUUAUCAAGGUUCUGAAUGUUUACAUUAUUCAGUGGAAACAAAUCCCAAGUAAUAGUAUCUGUAUUUCAAGUAUAGCUUAUUCCUGUUCAAAAGGUUUGAAGAAAGUCUACACAAUGUUUGUUUUGAGGACCUAGGUAUUAUUUGAGUGAUUAAUAGGUCCUGUGGAAAUCUUAUGAGCAUAGAUGAAAUAUAUUCUUUGUAUUUGUCUUUUGGAUGUUGAAUUGGAUCUAGUCCUGUCUUUUGGAAAGACCAUGACUUUAUUUUUAGGAUCUUUUCUACGUGAUAAAUUAUUUUCUCUUAAUUAUGUUAUCCUUUGGUCACUGAACUGAUUAUAAGUUAAUUUUUGCAAAGACACAAAAUGUGCAUUAUUAAUGUUGACAGAAAUUUGUUCUGCCUUUCAGUAAAGGCCCUGUGGUGGUCCCUUCUACCUCCAGCAAAGUAAUGGGCAGAGAAUUCUUAAUUCCAAUUUUUAUUUAUCUCUUUGCCAAAGAAUCACUAAGGUCUUAAGAGGAGUUUUAUUUAAUACUCUUAUGUCAGAAAGGUCUAUUCAAAUGGAAAUGGAGUUGAGAUGCUUCUGAUUAUACUGUGUUUUUGGGUCAGAAAAUAAUCAUGGCCAUGGCCACAAAAGCAAAUAGACAAAUAAAAGGGACAAAAGACAACUAUGUUACAUGUCUGGAAAUUAUACUGCCAAACAAAGUCAAUGACCAGCUGAGAUCAUCAUGUCAGCUGACAGCUGGAACUUGCUUCAGUAAGAUGCAGUUCUGCUGAUCUUGGCAUAAGGAAAUUUGCUUGAAGCAGACCAGGAUGGAUCUGACAACAGUCCUCAGUUCUCCAAGAAUAUUGUGGAAUGAAAUGAUAGUAUAAUGAAAAAAUAUGCAAGAACACGGAUGUCAGUAUUCAUAGAGUAGGAUCUAUUUUUUUCUCAGUAGUUGUGUUUAGCCUUACAUUCCCAAUUAGUUUUAAAUCCAUUGCACACUGAGAUUCAUAUUUGAUCUUUGGGGACUACAUAUGACAUUUCAUGAGGUCUGGUCUUAGCAGUUUUCCACAGGUACUAUAAGAGCUAACCUUGUGCCUUCUGAUGACUUCAGGAAAAUUGUAUUUUCAGUCUUUGGGCAAUGCAGUCUUGGGUACCUUACAUCUUUUUUAUUUUCUAAAUUUUUGCUUAGCCAGUUAUUAGCUGUGGUUUCUUUGUUUGCUUGUAUGUACCUUUCUGAUUUUAUUCAAUGAUUUAGUACAUUAAAAUAUUAACUUAUGGAAAUAUUUUAAUUUCAAAAUAAUUAGACAAAUUAAUGAUAGAUUCUUUAAAAUAUUAACUCAGCUUUAUGAUAUCUUCAAAGGCUUGUCUUCAAGAUUUGUUUUUCAUGGUAUUAAAAUAUUUUAAGCUGAACAAAUUGAUUGCAAAUGUAUGACAUCUAUGACAUAAUUUCUGGGAUCUCUUGGUUCCAGAGACUGUAUGACGCACAGGAAAUGUAAGAAUGAUUAAAGUCACUAAGGACAAGAUAAAGCAGAAGUCACAGAGAACAUCUGGCAUGUGUUUCUCUGUCCCAUCUGCAGAGUUCUCAAGUUCCAUAUUUUGCAGCACUGUGGAAUGAGGACAUUGUCUGAGCUGAACUAAAACCAUUUAAGAAGUGGCAGUAUAUUGUAAAAGAAAACAGCUAUUGUUGCUUAUAAAAUGGAACAGAAACUAUCCUAGAGGACAUGAUGGGUUGGCUUCCUCCAGCUGCCAGGCAUCCACCCAGCUGCUGUCUCAUUCCCCCUCCACAGCAGGAGAGGAGGAGAAAAUACCAUGGAAAAGCUCAUGGUCAAGAUAAAGGCAAAGACAUCAGUUACCAAUUACCAUUACAGGCAAAAGACUCGAGUUGGGAAAAUUCCGUUUAUUGCCAAGUAACAUUGAGUUGGAUGGUGAGAAACAAAGGAAAAAACUGAAAUAUCUUCCUCCCACCUCCUGUUUUUCCCAGGCUCAAAUUCACUUCUUCAUUCCUGACUCCUCUCCAUUUUCCUCCCAAGUGGUGCUGGGAAUGGGGCUUGGGGCUUAUGGGCAGCUCAGGGCAGUUCUUUGCUGCUGCAUCCUCCUCACACUUUUCCCUGCUCCAGUGUGGGUCCUCUGCUUGGGCUACAGCCCUUCAGGAUAAACCAGCUCCUACAUGGGUCCACCAAGGGAUGCAGUUCCCAUCAGAACCCACUCCAGUGUGGGCUUCCCACAGACUGCCAUGGAUAUUCCUGCCUCCACAGGCAGCAGUGGAUCUCUGCUCCACCAUGACAUUCUCCAUGGGCUGCAGGGACACGCUGCCUCACCAUGAUCUUCACCAGGGGCUGCAGGGCAAUCUCAUCUUCAGCUCCUGAGCACCUCCUCUCCUCCUUUUUCACAGUCCUUUGCUGUCUGCAGAGCUGUUUUCCUCACUGGUUUUCCUCAUUCCUCACCUUGCUGUGUGGCAUUUUGCCCUUUCUUACACACUUUUCCCCAGAGGGGCCACCACGCUGGCUGUGGGGCUCAGCCUUGCCCUGUGGUGGGGUGGUUGGAGCUGUCUGGAGCUGUCGGGGUCUGGCACAGGACAGCUCUGGCUGCUCCUCACAUGGGCCAUCCCCAGCCCCCUUCACCAAUAAAACCUCUCCACCAACACACAAGGCAUUGCAUUAAAGUUCAGUGCUGCUUUUCAGACUGUGGUAAAGCAGAGUUUUCUGAGCCCUGUGGAGUUUAGUCGUGCCAGUUUGAGAACAGCUUUGAAUGAGCACAGAGCUGCAGAAGUCCUCUAGUGGGAGACUGACACUUUGGAGUACAGACUGUCUCCCAGUGCCACAAGAUGUUGCUGAGACAACUGAUUUAUUUAUGGUUCGUGCGGCAGUUGCACGCUGGAAUAGUAAUAAAGUUCCACCACUGACUAAUGAAGUAUUUUCACAAAUUACCUAAGUUAAAAAAGCAUGAUUUGAACAUCCUAACUUGAUUAUUUUGCCAAGAAAAUAUGUAAGAUUUCUGUAGUUGCAUUUUGUAUUAAGAAAAUAUCCCUUUGUUUUACACAAAGUCAGAAAAAUUUUGCUGCAAAAAUGAUAAAAAUGUAUUUCUCAAUUUAGUCAGCUAUCUCUAAUUCCAUUUACUUUAAAUAUGCUGACACUUCAAAUUUAUUUUAUGUGUACUGAUUUUCCAAUGCUCUGUUAAAGAUAUACUUGUGGCUUAAAAGAUAUUUAUUUAUAUUGAAAUAUAAAAAUGUUGUAAGAAUACAGGAAAUGUAGAUUCGUUAGUCCCUGGUAACUUAUCUAAUCCUGGUAGCAGAUGUUUCAGUUCUGUCUUCAAACUAUUGUGAUGUUCCUGGUGGGACCAAAGGAGACUUCAAUACUUCCUGUAUUAUUGGAAUUUAUUUUCACAGUUGAUAGCUGGAAACCAAAAAGCUUGAAAGUGCUUAUCUGAAGAUACAAAUAACAUAACAACGGAAAAGUAAUUUGCUGGGAAAGAUGACCCUUGCUGCCUGGACUCCUUUUCUGACUUGUUUUGUAGGUCUUGACUUGUAUCUCUCUACUUAUAGUGUGUAUUUGUAUAAUACAUAGUACAUAAUAUGUAAUUAACAUAUGAAAAUAUGAUAAUAUAGCAAAAUGUCUCUAUCAGUCUGAAGAAUAUGUUUUUAAUGCCUGAUUCUCUUCUCAGUUUGCUUUUGCAAAAAUGUAAAUAUAUCCUGAGUUGCAACCAUGAAACAUGCAUCACUCCUUGUGUGAAGUAUAUACAGUAUUUAAUAGCUAUACAAAUUUACGCUUAUCUUUUAACCAUGUGCACAUGUGAAUAAUAAAUUAUAAUCACCAAUGUGAUUAAAAAUCCAUUAUGCCUUUAAUUAUUUAGCAGCAUGAAAGCAGAAAUUCAUCAACAUUUUCUGAAAUGUUAAAAUAAAAUUAGUUUGAUCACAUGUGUAGCCAACAGUGUAUUCACCAAACUUGAAUUGAGAAGUACCCUUGAGUGAUUGUUCUCAGCAAGUAAUUUUUCUGAAAACAUUUACUUUGGUAUGAAAAGUACUUUAUAAUUUGCUUUUGAAUUAUUUUCAGUUAUUAAGUCCCUAUGAUUUAAAAUAAGUAAAAGAGAGUGUCUGAUUGUUGAGUAAUGGUAUUCAGUUUGUUUGGACAAAUCCACUGUCCUUGCAGCAGUUUUAACUAAGCUGGUGAAAGAAGAAAGCAAAUUCAUCUGCCUGUUGUCACUGCAUGGGCUAAACAUCCAAGACUUCACUGGCUGAGCUCCACUGAACUCUCAUAUCUUCACUGACUUCAUUGUCAGUGUAAACUGGAUUACCAUGCCAAAUACUUACAUGCAUGAUACUUUCAGAUACACUAUUAACAGACAGCUUAAGGGCCAGAGCAGGAAAAUUAAAAUGAAAGCCUAUCUUAUGGAUCUCAGUAAAGUAUUGAAUUUCAUGUUCAAUAGUUCAUGGUUCAUUUUGUUUUCAGGUAAAACAGGUAUGUGAUGUUCAGCCCUUUGUUGAGCAAAUCAGGGCCUGAUUCUUCUGAAAUAUUGAAGCAAAUCUGGCAUGACACUUGGCUAGAUGUAAUGCUCACCCCUCUUUAUCCUCUUCCACUGAAAAACAAGCUAAAGGUUUGGAAUUUGCUGUCAGACAGGGCUGAGUGAAAGCUUGUUCACAGCUGCUGGUUUCUUGCAGGCUCUAGAUAUUUUCCAACAGUGUUCUCCUCAAGGAAAGGGCCGUGGCUGCUCUCUGCAGUCCAUAACACAGGUUAUACCACGGGCACAGUAAGUGGUUUUAUUAACAUUAUUAGGAACCACUCUGGUCAAUUUUAAUCUGAAAGAUACUCACAUUUCCUUAUAAUUUAUAACCCCAGUGUAUUUUACUGUAUCCUUGAAACAUGAAAAAUAUUUCCUUGCUGUUUGCAUACACAUUGAUAACCAACUACCAUCUGAGCUUCAGCUGCUCUGCAUCUUAGUCAGGCCCCACAUUUUUUGACUGACUGCAGUUUGGAGAAGAGGAUGAAGCAUUUCCUGGAGUUGCAUAAAUACCCCUUUGACGCACAUGGUUUUCAGAAAUUUUGUUGGAGAUUGAAUUACAACAGUUUGAAUUGCAAGCAAAAUGGGUGGAGCUGGGAUAGAAAUAAUCAUGACCUGGUUUCUUUCUAGUGACUUGCUAAUGGUAGAUGAAUGUAUCUUGGCAUCAUUCAAAGUGUAGGAGAGAAAAUCUCUUUUUGGUUCUGGCAGGUUCAGACAAGAUCUUGUAACAGAGGCACAACAGAGCAAAAAGCUGAAUGAGAAGCUGCCCAAGAUAAGUAUCAUACAUAAAUGGAUGUAGACAUAAAGAGAUGUGGGCAACGUAGCACCUACAGGUCUUGGUGCUGUGGAUUUAUUUCAGUUUGGGAGGAGAAAAGGACAUGAAAUUUGUCCCAGUGUCAAAUCACCAGAGCAGAGACGGAAAGGAUGAUUCUCACUCCACAGACAAUGUGCUACAUGGAAGGAGGAUUUAGAGAAAAUUCACAAGGGUAACAAAGGGAUCAUUUGUCUGAGGGCUCCUGUCUGAGCCCUGUGUUUGGGUGCAAGACAAUUAUUUUUCAUUUAUAAGGUGUAUUUCUGAGUGAAUAAACUGAGUUUUCCUACCAAAAAAACCCAAAAACUUAUUUGUUCUUUGUUCAUUAAAAAUCUGCUACUAUCUUAUGCCAAAAUUUGUCAUAGAUUGAGUCAGAAGUUUGGCAGCUCUCUCUGAUCUGUCCCCCUGAAUAUUCUCCCAAUUGUUAAAUUAUUUGAGCAAUCAUGAAAUAGAGAUCUGGGAGCUAAUACUGCUGCUUUCAACAACACUUUGAAUAAGAAUCAGAGAUAAUGGCAGAUGACUGAAUAAAUGAGGAUUAAUAGACAUAGCUGUGAGGAUUA